rnacentral:rRNA from 1 species
UAGGGAAUCUUCCGCAAUGGGCGAAAGCUUGACGGAGCAACGCCGCGUGAGUGAUGAAGGUCUUCGGAUCGUAAAACUCUGUUAUUAGGGAAGAACAAAUGUGUAAGUAACUAUGCACGUCUUGACGGUACCUAAUCAGAAAGCCACGGCUAACUACGUGCCAGCAGCCGCGGUAAUACAUAGGUGGCAAGCGUUAUCCGGAAUUAUUGGGCGUAAAGCGCGCGUAGGCGGUUUUUUAAGUCUGAUGUGAAAGCCCACGGCUCAACCGUGGAGGGUCAUUGGAAACUGGAAAACUUGAGUGCAGAAGAGGAAAGUGGAAUUCCAUGUGUAGCGGUGAAAUGCGCAGAGAUAUGGAGGAACACCAGUGGCGAAGGCGACUUUCUGGUCUGUAACUGACGCUGAUGUGCGAAAGCGUGGGGAUCAAACAGG